rnacentral:lncRNA from 10 species
CCAUCUCAAAAAAAAAAAAAAGAGAACGAGAGAUCCUCCUGCUUCAGGCUCCCGAGUAGUUGGGACCAUAGGGCCAUCACACCCAGUUUUUUUUUUUUUUUUUUUUUUUUUUUUUUUUUUUUUUUAGAGACAAAGGCUUGCUAUGUUGCCCAGGCUUGUGUCGAACUCCUGGCCCCAAGCGACCCUCCAACCUUGGCCUCGCACAGUGCUGGGAUUACAGACUUGAGCCACCUUGCUCAUCUGCAGGAAUCUGGUCGAACUCCAGGGCUGCCUAUCAUGAGCAGCCUUGUUUGCUUGCAAUUUGCAGAGUUGCAAGGGGUAAAGGACUGGCUUUGACUAUUCAAUCUUUCAGAAUGAAUUUGAAGAGGGGAUGACAAUAGCAGCUGACCCCUGAUUGUGCCCAGCAAGUGUCUUGGAGUUUUGGAUCCUGCUAUAGAGGAAGCCAGCAGUUCAGAAUGGGCUCUGCUCUGCCCGAGCUGUGGACGGCCAUCCUUCUUAAGAACCAAGGGUUUUGAUAGAUGAGCCCCUGCUUGUCUUCUUUGACGUUCAC